GUUUCCACUGUUGGUCUGAGGGCACGCGAUUCCUGGAGAAUUGCCUUUGUGAGAAGCUGGAAAUAUUUCUUUUAAAUUCCAUCUCUUAGUUUUCCAAUUUGUUGCAUUUUAGAGGAACAUUAAGGAACC
rnacentral:other from 12 species